GACGAACGCUGGCGGCGUGCUUAACACAUGCAAGUCGAACGGAAAGGCCCUGCUUUUGUGGGGUGCUCGAGUGGCGAACGGGUGAGUAACACGUGAGUAACCUGCCCUUGACUUUGGGAUAACUUCAGGAAACUGGGGCUAAUACCGGAUAGGAGCUCCUGCUGCAUGGUGGGGGUUGGAAAGUUUCGGCGGUUGGGGAUGGACUCGCGGCUUGUCAGCUUGUUGGUGGGGUAGUGGCUUACCAAGGCUUUGAGGGGUAGCCGGCCUGGGAGGGUGACCGGCCACAUUGGGACUGGGAUACGGCCCAGACCCCUACGGGAGGCAGCAGUGGGGAAUAUUGCACAAUGGGCGGAAGCCGGAUGCAGCAACGCGGCGUGCGGGAUGACGGCCUUCGGUUUGUAAACCGCUUUCGCCGGUGACGAAGCGUUAGUGACGGUAAUGGGUAAAGAAGCACCGGCUAACUACGUG
rnacentral:rRNA from 1 species